rnacentral:rRNA from 1 species
GCGUUGUCCGGAAUUAUUGGGCGUAAAGAGCUCGUAGGCGGUCUGUCACGUCGGCUGUGAAAACCCGAGGCUCAACCUCGGGCCUGCAGUCGAUACGGGCAGACUAGAGUUCGGUAGGGGAGACUGGAAUUCCUGGUGUAGCGGUGAAAUGCGCAGAUAUCAGGAGGAACACCGGUGGCGAAGGCGGGUCUCUGGGCCGAAACUGACGCUGAGGAGCGAAAGCGUG